rnacentral:rRNA from 1 species
GAUGAACGCUGGCGGCGUGCCUAAUACAUGCAAGUCGAGCGAACGGACGAGAAGCUUGCUUCUCUGAUGUUAGCGGCGGACGGGUGAGUAACACGUGGAUAACCUACCUAUAAGACUGGGCUAACUUCGGGAAACCGGAGCUAAUACCGGAUAAUAUUUUGAACCGCAUGGUUCAAAAGUGAAAGACGGUCUUGCUGUCACUUAUAGAUGGAUCCGCGCUGCAUUAGCUAGUUGGUAAGGUAACGGCUUACCAAGGCAACGAUGCAUAGCCGACCUGAAAGGGGGAUCGCCCACACGGGAACUGAGCCAGGGUCCAGACUCCUACGGGAGGCAGCAGUAGGGAAUCUUCCGCAGUGGGCGAAAGCCUGACGGAGCAACGCCGCGUGAGUGAUGAAGGUCUUCGGAUCGUAAAACUCUGUUAUUAGGGAAGAACAUAUUUGUAAGUAACUGUGCACAUCUUGACGGUACCUAAUCAGAAAGCCACGGCUAACUACGUG